rnacentral:lncRNA from 1 species
GUUCUGGAAUCUUUUCUUCAGCAUUCUGUCAGAUAGUCUUACAGCAUGUUCUUUGAAGCACAACUCACAGUUCCUUUUUGAUAUCUGCCUUUUGCCAUCUAUGGACAAUUAUGAUUCUUUGUCUGGUUGUUUCUAAUAUUGAGCUGGAAUAUAUCCCUCCAUAGCUUCUCACUGGUCCACAUUGUAUUCUCUACUCAGAGGUGUUGGUGAUCCAGUAGAAAUAUCAUCCAAGAAAGUGGGUCAAUGAUGAGUCUCAGCUUUGCUGGUUUGGGGGUUGGGUUAGAAGAAGCCAAUCCAAGAUGAAGAGGCAAAUGAUAUGAGAAGCUUGUUCGGUCCAUCCCUGUAGAGGAGGGGCCAAGAGGACUCCAGAAAUGCUCUCCCGUGGAGGAGGAAAGAUGACCUCUUCCAGAUUAAAGCUGCCUGGGGCUGAGCAGAGACUGGUUUCUUUAGCUGGGCAGGAGGCUCUCUAACCUCAAACUUUAACGAACCUAUUAAUAACUUGGUGAUUUUAGUAAAAUACAGAUUCUGAUUCACUGGUUUGAGGUUGGGUUCCAGAUUCUGAGUUUCCACAAUUCUUCUGUGUGAUGCCCGUGCGCCAGGUCCCCUGACCUCACCCUGAGCGCAGCACUCUAGGAGACUCGCGGUGCAUACCUGCUCAGGGGAGCCAGAAUCCUCUGAGUCAAGUUAGUCAAGUCAGAGUUUUCCAAACUUGCUUUAUCAUAAUCGCCUGGGAGUUCUUCUUGUAAAUAUAGAUUACCACUUCUAAUUUCACGUGUGCUAAAUAAUACUUUUUAGGAAAAAGGCUUAGAAUUUUAUUUUUUAUUUUCAGUAAAUACCCCAGGUGGUUCUUAUGAUUAGCAAGUUUGCGAAACAUGAACUUAACGCGGUGUUUUUCCUGGUCGGUCUUCAGCCCGCAGCCAGGCUGACAGCACCAGCAUCCGCUCUCCUGAGGAGCUGACUGGAAAUGAGCUUGGAUAUUCUCACUGAACGUUAGAACUCAGAUCUCCCCAAGACCCCGAUGCGCCCCCGGCUUGACACCUAUCACAGCAUGGCUUGCCACUCGGUGCCAUGUCCGCACCCGGGAUCCAAACUGGUGAACCCCGGGCUGUCAGAGCAGAAUGUGUGAAUUUAACUGCUGGGCCACUGGGUCAGCCCCUAUAAGCUAACCCACGAGUGGUGAACCUCUGUGAUUCUUUGCUUGAUCAAAGGCACCUCCACCUAGACUCAGGAUCCAACUACUGCUGGAGACCAAACAGCCAGGAAGUGGCAAUGCUGGGACUUGAACAGAGGCCAUUGCCCACACUUGGUGGAUGCCCUGUGCAAAUGCUCACCUUUGCGAUGCCAUCUGGAACUCACAGUUGUGAGGCUGCUGAGGAAGAGGAAGAGAGGACUGGAGUAUUGCAAGGCUGGUUUUUCAGGCCGGUGUUUGAGAGUAACUUACAUUUCAAAUGUCAUUGGCCGGAAGUGAGUCACACAAUCCCCAACUUCAUUUCAAGGAAGGCAGAGAAGAGUAUGGUGAAGACCCGUCUCCAUCAUCAUGGUGGUGUUUUGGUCCUAUGUCUGCAAAGUUUCUCUCCAUCUCAAGAUUAAAGAACUACUACUAAGAAUAAUGAUGAUAAUGAUAAUGAUAAUCAUUUUUGUUAUUAUUUAAAAUUUUCUUUUUCUUUCUAUAAACAAAAUGACUCUAAAAUGUUCACUAUUAAAUUAAAUGAAAAAUGAUUCUUCUAAUCCACAGUUUUCCUGCAUCUUGAGGUAGUCAUUUUUAUACAUUUUGACACAACAACUUGCUAAAAUUUAGCUCAGGUCACUAUGGUUCCUUUAUAUUGGUGUAAAAAUACCCUGUGGCAUUAUAGUUACAGGUAUAGUAAGCCAAUAAUCUGACACAAGUUUUAUUUAGCAGUAAUUCGUCAUUUGUUGUAAUUUCAAUGAAAAUUUAUUGAGAGUUUAUUAUGUGCUUGUCUCUUCCAUUUGUGCUCCUAUAAAGGUGAGUAAGGCAGAAUUUCCGGUCUACCCAUGUGUAGUUGGUUGAAUGGUUGCACCCCAGAAAAAUAUCACCAUGUUCUAUCUUCCAGAAUUUAUCCAGGUAACCAUAAUUGGAAAAAGGGUCAUUGCAGAGGUAAUUAAAUUAAGGCUGUGCAGAUGAGAUCAUCAUGGAUUAUCCAGCUAGGACCCAAAUCCAAUGACAAGUGAACUUACAAGAAAAAUAAUAGAGGGAGAUUUGACAGAGACAGAAGAGGAGGGAACACACAAACAGAGGAGGAGGCAAUAUGAAGAAGGAAGCAGAAACUGGAGUUAUGCAGCCAUCAGCCAAGAAUCAUCUGGAGGCAGCAGAAGCUGGAAAAGCCAAAGAAGGAUUCUUCCCUAGAGCCUUUAGAGGGAGCAUGGCCUUCUGACACCUUGAUCUUGUAGCUUUGGCCUCCAGAAUUGUUAUGGAAUAAUUUUCUGUUGAUUUAAGCCAUGAG